UUCGGAUGAUCGAUCGGUGACUGAGUGGCGGACGGGUGAGUAACGCGUGGGUAACCUGCCCUGUACAGGGGGAUAACAGCUGGAAACGGCUGCUAAUACCGCAUAAGCGCACAGAGCUGCAUGGCUCGGUGUGAAAAACUCCGGUGGUAUGGGAUGGGCCCGCGUUUGAUUAGGCAGUUGGUGGGGUAACGGCCCACCAAGGCGACGAUCCAUAGCCGGCCUGAGAGGGUGAACGGCCUCAUUGGGACUGAGAUACGGCCCAGACUCC
rnacentral:rRNA from 1 species